GAUGUCCAAGAAACCACGGGUUUGUUCAUCAUUUUCCAUCUCUAUUUGUCGAAAGUUGUGAAUUUGUAUUGCAAUUUAAUUAUCUUUUGCAUGUAGGCAUCUUUGACGUCAAGCAAAGGAAAGAGACCGAGACCGAGGCACGGUAAUGAGGAAGAGGUUGCAUCUGAAUUUGUAGCUUCGUAAGAACAAUACUCGUCACAGACACCGUUCUCCUAUUCACAACUAUUGUUGGGCGACGCUGAAAUGCAUGCAUGUACACGACCAUUGCCAACAUCGGAUGUUAUCCCACCAAGUGUCAUAUUCGGUCCACAAGGUCAUCCGUUUCCCUACUAUUACACACAUAUGCCGCCACAAGGUGGUCCAACCAUAUGAAUUUCAGAAAGGUUCAGUAGUUUUUUUGCGGUACGAGGAGCAGUGUGAUUUUGAAGGGAGGUUUUGGGAAGAUGUGAUUACUCAUAAUCUACUUCCUUUUUUGGAUUUUGGAUGUAAGGGAACCGAACUUAGCUAUUUAAAGCUGGGUGAACAGGUAUUACAUGUAUGCUUAAAUUGGUUUUUUGAGAUCUGUUGCUUCAAUUUGGGCCAUAACGUGAAUGAAAUCCAAUUUGGCAGCUAUAUGUUUAAUUCUCCUUUGCUAGGAAAUUUGUUAUUCAGGUUCUGUGGCACUACAUUUUUUAAGAGAAUUUGAGAAUUAUAAUGCAGAGUCAUUAUGGUCAUUAUGGUAUC